rnacentral:tRNA from 1 species
GGUGAUUAUAGCUCAGUCGGUUAGAGCGUCGGAUUGUGGUUCCGAAGGUCGCGGGUUCGAAUCCCGUUUUUCACCC